UCUAUAUUUUAACAUUUUUAUUGGGCCAAACCGAUCAAUCAAGCCCAAAAUUUUCUUAAGGCCAGACCCUAAACUCAUCCAAACCCAUAGGCAACUCUACUUUUAACUAACUUCUAGAUUUUACUUUGAUUUAUCAAGUAGGAAUAUGAAUAAAACUUUCAAAAAUAUUAAAAACAAAAAGAGACAAAAAUAAAAACCCACCUUUAAAAUAUAAAAUAUACGUAUAAAUACGAUCCAUAUACAGACA
rnacentral:lncRNA from 1 species